UCAAGUAAGGAGGAACAAGUUACCACUACAAACCAGUCAUCCUAUCUGCUCAUUCACAGUCUCCUACACUGGCCUCCAUCCCCUCUCCCAGGGAACACAUGAGAAUGCAGGGUAACCGGGCAGAAGAGCCUAAUCACACCACCUGAAGAAGCUGCAGAAAUUCAAGAGUGAAAGGUUUUUAGAAAUGCUGAACAAUACAAGAAAAAUGGAGGCACAGCACUUUUAUGUCUAGCUUUGUCAAAAACCCUAAGAUAUCGGCACUUGUCUCUGAACCACUGAAGAUUCAGAUGCAUUCAUCAUUAUGGUAACUUCUAAAUAAACCCUAGGUGCUUUUAAGUUCUAAUUUAAA